AACGCACAUUGCGCCCUUUGGCAUUCCGAAGGGCAUGCCUGUUCGAGCGUCAUUACACCCCUCAGACCCUGCCCUGUGUGGGCGGAUCUGGCGUUGGGCGGUGCCGGAAGGCACGCCUAAAAGUCAGCGACGGCAUCCUCGACCGCAAGCGCAAACUGUCGCGAUGCAGGGCGGGCGGUGCCGGUACACCCCUAAAUGUUGACCUCGGAUCAGGUAGGAUUACCCGCUGAACUUAA
rnacentral:misc_RNA from 1 species